rnacentral:lncRNA from 1 species
AUGAGCUUUCUUUGAAAGAUGAACAGUCAGAUGCAUCAUAACAUCAAAAAAUGAUGGUGAAAAUUUUUUUUCUAACUUAUAAAGAAUGAAUACGAUAUCCUUCUUAGAUCUCUCAAGUAUGGUAAUCUUCAAUUUUUGACAACAUAAUUUUCAAAAAAAUACUCCUAGCUAAAUCAAUGCAGUUUGAACAUCCCCAUCAAAAUAGCCAUGC